GUUGGGUACCCGGGUUCUUCGAGUCUGAAUGGCGUUAGGGUAACUGUUGCACAAUUAAUGCAAUGUUAGCCGCUGUCCUUUAGCAUUUAGCUAGUGGUAGCAGGACAAGUGAAGGAGUUAACAGAAACGAGUCCCGGCUCAUUAAAAAAACUCUCGAUCUUUGAACGACUCGGUCAAUAAGCGCCCAUUUCUAAUGACCACCGAGCACACGCUGGUGGUCCACAAGACGUCUAGUCUUUAUAUAAAGAUGAACAAGUCAACAUGUCUAUGAUUUGGAUGGACAGACACCAAAAGAGGGCAUUGUUGGUGGUCAGAGACGUCCUCUUUAAUGGUUGCAAGCGAACACAGCAGUUUGCCAACAAGGAGAGCGUUUCAGCUUGUAAACGUUACAGACCCACGAACACGGCACACAAACAUGGGCAGUCGUCAUCAGAGUGCGACUCUUCUAACUGGACCCGCAACCAGCCGCCGCCAACAUGACGCACUGCUUCCUGUCCAGCGCCGCCUCCCAGAUGGACGAGAUAAGGGGUCCCACAGCCAAUCAGUCUCCUCCAUCCAACCCUGCCUUCCUACAUCCAUAGAGCUCCUCUUGGGUCUUCCUCUACACCUCCUACCCGGCAGCAUCCUUCUACCAAUAUGUCCACUAGCUCUCCUCUGGACAUGUCCCGACCAUCUCAGUCUGGCCUGAAGGACUUUAUCUCCAAGGCCUCGAACAUGCAAUGUCCUUCCUGAUCCUAUCCAUCCUGGUCACUCCCAAUCCCUCCUCAUAUUACAACUACUGUCCUAAAUCUGCCUGUUUUUUCUUGUAACGUGAUUUUAUAAUAUGUCUGGUUUGCAAAUUGUUGGCCAAAAGUCUUCACUUUUGAAUUUUUGAGACUUUAUUCAAUCAUUCAGUUUUAAUGUUUUACCAGAAUAUGACUUUUUUGUCUUCAUAUUACAAGUUUUUUUUUAAUCUCAUAGUUUUUGUUUGCAAUAUUAUGAUUUUAGGAUUGAAAAUGUAAAUGAAAAAUGGCACAAACGGAUAAAUAUUAGAUUUGCUGAUGCUGCAUUUUUAAAAUGCUUUGUUGACAGUUUGUCACUGUGUGAAAGCGGACACAACUCGCCAUUGCUCAUGUUUCUGUGUAAAAGCCGCUUGGCGUAAAAAUGGCGGGUUUUCCUGGAUGGACAAUGAUGCCCAAACACCUCUGAUCUAUAAUCCAUAAUCCAUAACUGCUUAGUGCUAUUAUUUCAUGCAACCUCAUCAAUGGACAAGCCUACGUUUUCAUGGCCUGAUUACCAAAUUAAUGAUGAAUGUUGGAAAUAAAUGAAAAUAGAUCAUCCUCCAAAUGCUCCAUUAUCAUGUGUGCUUUUGCAACAUGCAUUAUUAUUAUUAUUAUUAUUAUUAUUACGUCACACAGUAAAGGUAUUUUUGUAACACAGAUUUAAGAUAAGCAAGGAUAAAACGAAAUAUAAGAAACGGCGCAUUUUAUCAACAAAUCCCCAAAAGCCACGGAGAAAGAAAGGCCUUGGCGUGACAGGGAG